UACGGGGGGAGCAAGCGUUGUUCGGAUUUACUGGGCGUAAAGGGCGCGUAGGCGGCCACUGCAAGUCAGUUGUGAAAUCUCCGGGCUUAACUCGGAAAGGUCAACUGAUACUGCAGGGCUAGAGUACAGAAGGGGCAACUGGAAUUCUCGGUGUAGCGGUGAAAUGCGUAGAUAUCGAGAGGAACACCUGCGGCGAAGGCGGGUUGCUGGGCUGACACUGACGCUGAAGCGCGAAAGCCAGGGGAGCGAACGGG
rnacentral:rRNA from 1 species